CUAGAUCGAAGAGCUUUGCUUGUAUAGCUAAUGAGGAGGAAAAUACAUUUGGUUCUAAAGUUGGCCGAAUCAAACUCUUUGACAUGACACAUACAAAAAAGGAUGGCACUCUUAUGACUGCUGAAGCUGCAUAAAUUAUGGAAAAAUUGAGGGAGAAAAGGGC